rnacentral:rRNA from 1 species
GAGGGGCAGCAUGUCCAGCAAUGGAUGAUGGCGACCGGCGUAAGGGUGCGUAACGCGUGAGCAACAUGCCCUAUACAGGAGGAUACUCCGGGGAAACCCGGUCUAAUACUCCAUAGUAUUAUUGAGAGGCAUCUCUUAAUAAUUAAAGCUUCGGUGGUAUAGGAUUGGCUCGCGUGACAUUAGCCAGAUGGUGAGGUAACGGCUCACCAUAGCAACGAUGUCUAGGGGUUUUGAGAGGAAGGCCCCCCACACUGGGACUGAGACACGGCCCAGACUCCUACGGGAGGCAGCAGUGAGGAAUAUUGGACAAUGGAUGGAAAUCUGAUCCAGUCAUGCCGCGUGCAGGAAGACUGCCUUAUGGGUUGUAAACUGCUUUUAUACGGGAGCAAUAAGGGUUACGUGUAGCCUGAUGAGAGUACUGUAUGAAUAAGGAUCGGCUAACUCCGUGCCAGCAGCCGCGGUAAUACGGAGGAUCCGAGCGUUAUCCGGAAUUAUUGGGUUUAAAGGGUGCGUAGGCGGCUAUUUAAGUCAGCGG